AUUGAACGCUGGCGGCAUGCCUUACACAUGCAAGUCGAACGGCAGCGGGCCCUUCGGGGUGCCGGCGAGUGGCGAACGGGUGAGUAAUGCAUCGGAACGUACCCGGGAGAGGGGGAUAACCGGCCGAAAGGCUGGCUAAUACCGCAUGAACUCGGAAGAGCAAAGCGGGGGACCUUCGGGCCUCGCGCUCUCGGAGCGGCCGAUGUCCGAUUAGGCUAGUUGGUGGGGUAAAGGCCCACCAAGGCGACGAUCGGUAGCGGGUCUGAGAGGACGAUCCACCACACUGGGACUGAGACACGGCCCAGACUCCUACGGGAGGCAGCAGUGGGGAAUCUUGGACAAUGGGCGCAAGCCUGAUCCAGCAAUGCCGCGUGGGUGAAGAAGGCCUUCGGGUUGUAAAGCCCUUUCGGCGGGGAAGAAAUCGGUCAGGCGAAUAGUCUGGCCGGAUGACGGUACCCGCAGAAGAAGCACCGGCUAACUACGUG
rnacentral:rRNA from 1 species